GAACGAGAUUGAUCAGCAAAAUGUCCAGUGAUCCAGUAUGUAUUGAUGAUUUUGAGCAACAUGCUAAAACAUUUCUACCCAAGACAUACUGGAAAUAUUAUUCCAGCGGAUCCUAUGCACAUAUUUCUUUUGAAGAAUCAAAAAAUGCAUUCAAAAGGUAUCGUGAUUUUAAUAAUAAUGAGGUUUUCUCAGUGUUUUAAUACCGAAUAUUAGCCAAUAUUUAGAAUAUAAAUGACCAAAUGAUAUAUAUACACAGUUAGGGACCGG